GAUGAACGCUGGCGGCGUGCCUAAUACAUGCAAGUCGAGCGAACAGACGAUGAGCUUGCGCCUCUGACGUUAGCGGCGGACGGGUGAGUAACACGUGGAUAACCUACCUAUAAUACGGGGAUAACUUCGGGAAACCGGAGCCAAUAACGGCUAAUACAAUGAACCGCAUGGUGCAAUAGUUAAAGGCGGUUUUGCUGUCUGUUAGAGAUGGAUCCGGGUCGCAUUAGCUAGUUGGUAAGGUAACGGCUUACCAAGGCAACGAUCCGUAGCCGACCUGAGAGGAUGAUCAGCCACACUGGAACUGAGACACGGUCCAGACUCCUACGGGAGGCAGCAGUAGGGAAUCUUCCGCAAAGGGCGAAAGCCUGACGCAGCCACGCCGCGUGGGUGAUGAAGGUCUUCGGGUCGUAAAACUCUGUUAUUAGGGAAGAACAACUGUGUAAGUAACUCUGCACGUCUUGACGGUACCUAAUCAGAAAGCCCCGGCUAACUACGUG
rnacentral:rRNA from 1 species